UAGACGGAAGUGACGUCAUCGUGGAAGGACCCGGAAAGUGACAUCAUCAUGUGAGAGCCAGAAGUGACGUCAUCUCGGGGGAGCCGGAAAUAUGGAUGGGUGGCUAGAUGACACAUGAAUGUUUGUAACUAAAGGAUCCUCAGACUAAUGAGAAACAAGCUUCUCUGGUGUGAAGAAACCAUAAUAUAACUGUUUGGCCUCAAUUCUAAAUGUCCCGUCUGGAAGAAACUGGGCACCGCUCAUCACCUCCUCAAUAGGUGAAGCAUGGUGGUGGCAGCGUCAUGUUCUGGGGUUGUUUUUCAGCAGCUGGGACUGGGGGACCACACAGGGUUGAGAGAAGACUGAAUAGAGCAAAGUUGAGAGAUAUCCUUAGUGAAGCCCUGCUCUGAGUGCUCUGGACCUGCCACUGGGCCAAAGGCUCCCCUUCCAACAGGACAAUGAUUCACGGUGAAGAGGAUUAGUAAACAGAAAAAUGAUCAUCAAUGAAGAGGACAAAAGUGACUUCAGAUUUAGUCAGCACUUCAAGCCAUGCUGGUCUUCCUGUCAUCCCACUGUGGGAAACAGCCCGGACACAGACAGGCGUACACCGAUAGUUCACCCAACACACGUUUAUUAUAUGUAGCACCCACCUAGUUGGGUAUUGGUAGGCCUAAUAGUAAACGUGUUUAUUUGAUGCUAAGAGCGCGCGCGGCUUUCGGCGCCGCGGGAGAGCGGGAAGGGAACUCGCGCGCCAAGAGGUUGACACCUCACCUGUUGAAGAGAAAAAAACGCGGCUGCACAGUCGCGCGCUUUCCCUUUUUUUUAAGCGAAUCAGAGCUCGGUGAUAAGGACUUUUUGGAGGACCGCCACAGCCGCAUUCCACAGAGGGCACAACUGGCAUGCAAUACGUCUGACAUGAUUUAUCCCAGAAGGAGAAAAUGCAAAUAAGCAGGGUCAGAAAUAUCACAGGAGGCAACAACUAAUCAGGGAACGCAAAUAAAUCCCGCAUCAAGACGAAGCUGAUGGCGUCAUCCCAGACGGAGCUGUGAGAUUCCUGUGUUUAACCAAGGAGGAAAAUGAGAAGUGUGGGGAAACGUUCUGGAAGGACACCGUGAGUACACGUGAAGUUAUGUACUGCAUAUGAGCUCCAACUAAGCGCGCCAACGAUUUUUUUUAUAUAUAUAUACCUAUAUAUUUAUUGUUGAUUUCUAUGUGUGAACCUUACUUGUGCUGAAACUCAAAUUUAAGUUGAACUGUGAUAAUAUCCCAUAAGCGGUGUGUUUAAAUAAAUGUGUUUUAUGUU